AGAGUUUGAUCCUGGCUCAGGACGAACGCUGGCGGCGCGCCUAACACAUGCAAGUCGAACGGAGCUUAGAGAGCUUGCUUUUUAAGCUUAGUGGCGAACGGGUGAGUAACGCGUGAGUAACCUGCCCUAGAGUGGGGGACAACAGUUGGAAACGACUGCUAAUACCGCAUAAGCCCACGGUACCGCAUGGUACUGAGGGAAAAGGAUUUAUUCGCUUUAGGAUGGACUCGCGUCCAAUUAGCUAGUUGGUGAGGUAACGGCCCACCAAGGCGACGAUUGGUAGCCGGACUGAGAGGUUGAACGGCCACAUUGGGACUGAGACACGGCCCAGACUCCUACGGGAGGCAGCAGUGGGGGAUAUUGCACAAUGGGGGAAACCCUGAUGCAGCGACGCCGCGUGGAGGAAGAAGGUUUUCGGAUUGUAAACUCCUGUCGUUAGGGACGAUAAUGACGGUACCUAACAAGAAAGCACCGGCUAACUACGUGCCAGCAGCCGCGGUAAAACGUAGGGUGCAAGCGUUGUCCGGAAUUACUGGGUGUAAAGGGAGCGCAGGCGGGAAGACAAGUUGGAAGUGAAAACCAUGGGCUCAACCCAUGAAUUGCUUUCAAAACUGUUUUUCUUGAGUAGUGCAGAGGUAGAUGGAAUUCCCGGUGUAGCGGUGGAAUGCGUAGAUAUCGGGAGGAACACCAGUGGCGAAGGCGGUCUACUGGGCACCAACUGACGCUGAGGCUCGAAAGCAUGGGUAGCAAACAGGAUUAGAUACCCUGGUAGUCCAUGCCGUAAACGAUGAUUACUAGGUGUUGGAGGAUUGACCCCUUCAGUGCCGCAGUUAACACAAUAAGUAAUCCACCUGGGGAGUACGACCGCAAGGUUGAAACUCAAAGGAAUUGACGGGGGCCCGCACAAGCAGUGGAGUAUGUGGUUUAAUUCGAAGCAACGC
rnacentral:rRNA from 1 species